rnacentral:rRNA from 1 species
AACGAACGCUGGCGGCACGCCUAACACAUGCAAGUCGAGCGCAGUCCUUCGGGACCGAGCGGCGGACGGGUUAGUAACGCGUGGGAACAUACCCUUUUCUACGGAAUAGCCUCGGGAAACUGGGAGUAAUACCGUAUACGCCCUUCGGGGGAAAGAUUUAUCGGUAAAGGAUUGGCCCGCGUUAGAUUAGAUAGUUGGUGGGGUAAUGGCCUACCAAGUCUACGAUCUAUAGCUGGUUUGAGAGGAUGAUCAGCAACACUGGGACUGAGACACGGCCCAGACUCCUACGGGAGGCAGCAGUGGGGAAUCUUAGACAAUGGGCGCAAGCCUGAUCUAGCGAUGCCGCGUGUGUGACGAAGGCCUUAGGGUCGUAAAGCACUUUCGCCAAGGAUGAUAAUGACAGUACUUGGUAAAGAAACCCCGGCUAACUCCGUGCCAGCAGCCGCGGUAAUACGGAGGGGGUUAGCGUUGUUCGGAAUUACUGGGCGUAAAGCGCACGUAGGCGGACUAUUAAGUUAGAGGUGAAAUCCCGGGGCUCAACCCCGGAACUGCCUUUAAUACUGGUAGUCUUGAGUUCGAGAGAGGUAAGUGGAAUUCCAAGUGUAGAGGUGAAAUUCGUAGAUAUUUGGAGGAACACCAGUGGCGAAGGCGGCUUACUGGCUCGAUACUGACGCUGAGGUGCGAAAGCGUGGGGAGCAAACAGG